AAAGUUCUAUUGCCCGGCCUCAAAUAGUUGUGACUUAUACAUAAGUCCAAUUACGAUUGCUUAACAUAGCGCUAAACUUGUGAUACCAAAGGCAUGGCAUUCUAGUUAGUGAGAUUGUAAGUCUCCCCUCUUUCAUGGUAUAGUGUGGAAACUUGGCCUUCUUUCCUUCCUUUGGAAGAUGUUUUGGCUCAAGGAUUCAUGCUUGUGAUAAGUGGGAUGAGUGUUCUCCAAAGAAUAUCUAAAAAAUGAAAAGAAAAAAUAAAACAAUACUAACUUCUAACCUAUUAACUACUAACUUUUAAUUUCAAGCCUUUUACUUUAAUGCCAUUUAAUUCUAGCUCUUAUACAUUUUCCAU
rnacentral:lncRNA from 1 species